rnacentral:lncRNA from 1 species
CUCCAAAACUUAUUUUAUAAAACUAAGGAAAGUCUUAGAGGAAAAAAAUCUGUAAAUACUUAAAAAAAAAGAAAGAAAGAUAAAAAAGUCAAAUACCUGAACUCUUACAUUAAGAAACUAAAGGGGCUAGGGAUAGAGCUUCAUUGUAUGGUGCUUGCCUGGCUUGGGCAAGACCUUCCCUGGGUUCAACCCUAGCACAGUGCAUACACAUACAUACACAUACACACACACACACACACACACAAAUAGCAAACUACACAAAACAAAAGGAAGAAAGUAAAGAUAUAGCAGAUAUUAAUAAAGUGGAGACUACAUGAGCAGCAGAGGAAAAUCAAUGAAACAAGUUGUUUUUUUUAAAGACUGAUGUUGAAGAAUUAGAUACUGAAGUGAACAAAUAGGACAAUGAGCCUGACUGAAUUAAAAAUUUAUGAUUUGAUUUUUGUGCAUGUGAGAGAUAGGGGUAUCAUUUCAUUUUGCUAUAUAUUGAUUUCCAGUUUUCCCAGCACCAUUUGUUAAAGAGGCUAUUUUAUGUCCUCUUUAUUUAUUUGGCACCUUCAUUUAGUAUGAGAUAACUGUAUUUAUGUUCAUUUGUCUCCGUGUCAUCUAUUGUAUAUCAUUGGUCUACAUAACUGUUUUGGUGCCAGUACAUGCUGUUUUUGUCGCUAUAGCUCUGUAGUAUAAUUUAAGGUCUGGUAUUGUGAUGCCUCCUGCUUCAUUUUUCUUGGGAAGGGUUGCUUUGGUUAUUCU